rnacentral:rRNA from 1 species
GUGAGGAAUAUUGCGCAAUGGAGGCAACUCUGACGCAGCCAUGCCGCGUGCAGGAAGAAGGCGCUACGCGUUGUAAACUGCUUUUAACCGGGAAGAAACCCCAGGACGUGUCCUGGGUUGACGGUACCGGAGGAAUAAGCACCGGCUAACUUCGUGCCAGCAGCCGCGGUAAUACGAAGGGUGCAAGCGUUAUCCGGAUUCAUUGGGUUUAAAGGGUGCGUAGGCGGAGCGUUAAGUCAGUGGUUAAAUCCUGCAGCUUAACUGUAGACUUGCCAUUGAUACUGGCGCUCUUGAGUGCGCUUGAAGUGGGCGGAAUGUGCCGUGUAGCGGUGAAAUGCUUAGAUAUGGCACAGAACACCAAUUGCGAAGGCAGCUCACUAAGGCGAUACUGACGCUGAGGCACGAAAGCGUGGGGAUCGAACAGGAUUAGAUACCCUUGUAGUCC